AACUGAUACUACCUGCGGGAACCUGCGGAGGGAUCAUUAAAAAAAGGGUCAUUUGACCCAUUUUUUUUAAAAACUCACUAUCAGUUCUACUGGAAGUGGGUUUUUUUCAAACACCAAAAAUUUUAAACUAUUCGUCUUUUGACGAAACUUAGAAAUUAAUAAAUAAAACUUUUAACAAUGGAUCUCU
rnacentral:misc_RNA from 1 species